GCGGUCAUGGUGGAAUUGGUAGACACGCUACCUUGAGGUGGUAGUGGCCGAAAGGCCGUGAGAGUUCGAGUCUCUCUGACCGCACCA
rnacentral:tRNA from 1 species